rnacentral:piRNA from 1 species
AAUGUGAGAGACUUAGAAAAAGA